CUUUGGCGAGACCUUGGCAAAUCACAGCCCAGAAGCAUCAAGUUUCCACUCCCAGAUGUACCAGAGUCCCUCCUGUCUUCCAUUCACAGCAAGGCCUCUCUCUCCUCUCUCUCUCUCUCUCUCUCUCUCUCUCUCUCUCUCUCUCCCUCUCUCUCUACUUUCGGAAGCAAAACAGCUUGGUUAUUCAGAGGAGGAAAGAGACACGAAAGAGUGGGGGAGGGUGAAAGAGAGAGGAAAAGAAGGGAGAGGGGGAGAAUGGAGGUUGAAGAGGAGAAGAACCAGAAGAUAGUGCGGGCGUUGGUAGAAGAGGAGGAGGAAGAGGUGGAGGGAUGGGAGGGGUAGGGUGGAGUAACAGAAGAUGGGGUGGGAUGUGACCGCCAGGAAUAAAUUGCUCCCCACCCAGCUGCAGUGCGACGCCCCCAGCGUCUCUGGGGAGCUGGUGCGUCAGCUCCGGACUGGCCUAGGCGGGGCGGUACAAAAGCUAGCACCGCAGGACCCCCUGCGAGGGCUUCCACCCAGUUCAGCCAGCCCACGAGGCCGCUUCCCCAGGCAGCCUCCUUGCUCGGGCGAGGUGACUCUCCACGGCCUUCAAACCCUCCGGAACUUUUACUUCAGCCGGGGAGCCUAGCCAUCCUGUUUGGUUUCAGAAAAGUGCGGAAGCCCGCAGGGCAUCCUCACCCUCACUGGCGGCUUAACGCCGUGGCCUGAGCGGCUGCGGUCGGUUGAGUCCUGUUCCACCUCCAGCCCCGCUUUCCCAAUGCCCGGGUUAAGCGGAGCCCCGACUCUCCGCUUGCCUCUGGGCAUCUCUGCCUCUUCUAUGCCCUUUCCUCUUCUUUCUUUCUUUCUUUCUUUCUUUCUUUCUUUCUUUCUUUCUUUCUUUCUUUCUUUCUUUCUUUCUUUCUUUCUUCCUUCCUUCCUUCCUUCCUUCCUUCCUUCCUUCCUUUCUCUCUCUCUCUCUCUCUCUCUCUCUCUCUCUCUCUCCCCCCUCCCCCUCUCUAUAUGUGUGUGUAUUGGUGUGUACGUUUGUGUUUGUGCUCACGCGUGAACGCAUGUGUGUAUAUAAGCGCGCAGUGCACGUUCUGAGCAAGAAAGAAGGUAAAAUCUGGCACAAAAGUAGUUUUGGUCUCCUGCAUCUUGAAGACAGGAGCAAGUUAAACGUAUUUGACAUUACAUUUCGAAGUUUAAAAAAAAAAAACGAGGCUGGAGCACGACGGAUCAUUUAAACUGAGGUUUUACACUGCAAGGAUCAUUUAUUAUUGUUAAGUAAGAUGAAAAUAAGCUGAAAAUGAAAAGCAAUCAGUAGGGCAGAAAACAAGAUAUUUUGCCAACCGUCCGAAGUUGGGAGCGGUUGGAAAGGUUUUCCUGAGUAGGAACAUCCAGGGUGGAUAAAGGUGGAAGCCACAGAUUCACACAAAACCGCUUCAGUACGUGAUGGGAUUAGAAAUGGGACCGUGCUUUCCGACACAGACAACCCUUUAGUUCUCUGUUAACCGCAUUAAACCAGCCCCAUACAAUGAUUUCAUGGACGCCUUUAAUGCACAGACACGGGGGAGUCACGGAGGGUGCACGCGGUCGGUUUGAAAAAUUCAUAAAGAGAAAAAGUUUUAAAACAUCGAUAUCUAAACACUCGAGUGCGUUUUUUCUCAGACAAUCAUACCUAAACACAGUGAGCCCCCCCCCAUCUUCAUUUCCUUGCUGAUCUCUAGAUGCGACCUUGUACAGUAGGCCGCUAGGUUCCACAUAAUUCUACUUACAUUCAUCUGAAUGGCGCGUCAUAAAAUGUCAGAGGGGGGAGGAAACCCUUGAGGGGCGUGGAGAAGAAGCCUUUUAUUAGCAAUUAUAUCUUCCAAAGCUGUUUAAUUUCAAUAAUAGCAAUGGUGUCGCGGUAACCAUCUCCUUUCUGCCAUUACAGUGAGACUACCAAAUGGAUCGCAGCACUAUGGGUGUGUAUACUUAGUUGAGAGGCUACGAUUGCUGGACUUUAUGCACGUAUCAUAGGGCAGGAAGAAUUUCCCAGGCAUUAUUUUGUUUAGCACCUGGUAUAAGGACUCAUUUACCUCCAAAUUUUAUUUCAGGAUAACAGUUAGAAGAUGUUGCUGAUUUAUGCCUACCGUGGGCUUAAAGUAAAAUGGAAAACGAAGUUGGUUUUUUUUUUUUAAAUUAAGUUAGUUGAAGGCAAAUAAAUAUAUUUUCCUUGAGCAGAACGAGCUGGCUAUGAACUAUAUAAAGUGAAGGUCAUAUUUCACCACCCUGUCUGGGAUUUUCAAGGUUGUUUAGGAGAGCACAAACAAGAAAACAAACUAAGAGCACAGAGCCAGAACCCAGCCUGUGCGUCGUCGGCAUCACGCUGCCUAGAACAAACAUCCUGGCUACAGCGGUGCCCUCCCAGACUUACAAAGCUGCAUUGAUAUGGAUCCGGCAUGCAAGGAUAAAAGUUCACCAUCCCAUAGCAUCUCCCAAACAUUGUGAAGUGAGUGUUUGUAGAAGGACAGCAUUCAGACUGUAGUGCAACGACAGGCCAGAGAUAGAGCCUUUAUGAUAUGUCAUCAUUUAACAGGCGAACAAUAAUUAACCACCUUUGCCUGUUGAAUACUAAUUGUAGAUGUUUGGCUGCCUUUGUUUGAAAUUAUGAGACAUUGCCAGAGGAGGCAGAAGGGUGUGACAAUCAUAGGUUUAGAUUACAGAUGUUUAAGACAUAGAGAAAGUCCAAAGAUAGCUGUGGCUGGGUUUAAGAAGGUCUCCACAAAACUUCUCUUUGCAAAAACUUCUCUUAAUACCUGAGAUAGACAACUUCAUAGAUUGCACUUCAGUUUUUCCUUUUAACUUGUAUACCUUGUCAGAUUUGCUCAUACACACUCACAAAACGGGCUAGACAUCUUAAAGUAGACACCAGAUAGCUGCUGACAUCCUAGAGACACACAGGCUGCCUGUUGGCAAGCUGUGGAACUUUCUGUGAGGAAGUCAGGAAAGCCCCAAGGUAUGUCUGGCAGUGUGCAGCUGGCACUGGGAGUGUGGCUUCCAGGAGAGACUUGGAAAUGUGACCUGGUUCUGGGAGGAAGAGAAGGAAGAGGAAAAAGGUUUCUCUCUCCAAAUCCUCUCACUGAGGAGAAAGGUUUAUGUUAGACUCUUCUCCACUGUUGCUACCAGUAUUCAGCUGGCCUGAGAGACCUAAAAUUGAGAUUCAUGUAGAGAGUUAUACCUGCCCCGAAAAUAGUGGUGUCUGUGGGGGUGCUGUCUGAUUGUCUUCACUGGUCCAUCCUGAUUAAAACAAACAAGCAGACAAACAAACAAAGGCUUUUGCAACAGCCAGGAGGGCCAGAACCUUCACUAUCAAGCAGCGCUGAUUAGGACAUAUUAAUGGCUCCAGUUGAACCUUUACCACCACAAGAAACAUUUUUCCUGCUUAUCUUUCAGAGACUUGUAAAAAAAAAAUUAUUUACAGGUAGUCACUGCUGAUAGUCCUCACAAUGAUUAACACAGCUCAAUGGCAUUCUAGGGUCAUAUAAAUAUCAAUAGAGAGAGACAUUGCCAGGUUUCCAGCAGCAGCCAGUGAGAGAACAGUAUCUACAAAGAUGGAACUUCGUUUGUAUGAUGGACCCAAGCCUUGCUAACCUGCAAGCUUUUGUCUAAAUUCGCCAAUCUGAAUUAAGGAGCCAGGAUGCACAGCCCAUUAGCGAACUACCACUACAUACCUAACUCUGUGCCCUGUGUGUCCGAUGGUCACCAUGUGGAGCUUCUGCUACAAGUCUCAUAGUGCCCAUUUUUUAACCUGCCCUUUUGGUUACCUUGAAUGAUUGUUCCUUUCAGAAAUCAAUGGGGAAGUUCAAUUUAGACUUCAUAUUCACCAGUUUAAAGCUAUUCUGUUUUAUCAUAAAAAAUGAAGGCCACUCCCCAAAUUCAGCAUGUGACUUUUUAAGGCUCACAUAAUUCCUUUGGUUAUCUAAGGUUUCAAAUAUCUGUGGGUGGCAAAUUUCAGAAUGCCAAGAAAGUGAUGUCAGCAAGGACAUUGUUGAGUGGGGUCAUUAGUCCUCAAGUCUCUUACUUUCCUGCCUAAAGAAACAUGGCUAACCCUGCUUGAAGUCCUCUUCUACAGCUACCAAAACUGGUGAAAUGAAUUCCACUCAGGAAUUGCUCCUGUGGCUUCAUCCCUUGGAACAGGUUCUGACUGGGUGGGCUCUUGCAUUUAAAUUUAGAGACUAGCCUCUGCACAAAUUAUCAAAGUUAUCAUUACUCUUAAAAAAGGGGGCUCCCUGACACUUUGCAUGAUAUAGAUAGAUAGAUUAUAUAUAUAUACACACAUAUAUAUGUGUGUAUAUCAUAUAUAUACACACAUGUAUGUAUAUAUCACACAUAUGCAUAUGUAUAUAUAAUUUAAUUUUGUAUCUCUAUACUCACAUUCAUGUUCAUGAGGCGAGGGGAUCAGUAAGCAAACAAAUGCAUCAGGAUAGAACUCCCACAGCUUAUGACAAGGAGGGCAGCCCCACCCCCACAUUUGCCUAUCCUGCUUGGAAUCCAGGGCACCUGCAAGGAAGGUCCUCAGGUGAGCCGCCAAGGAGGAGAUGACAGGCUCUCUGGCAGCUUCCCAGGGCACUUUGAGCUUGGCCGCCAUUUCACUUGUUCUUUUCCUUCAAAUCACACCUGCUGCCACAAAUCCGGGACACCUGACACCAGAUGUAGUCAAAGGGAAAAGAAAAAAUAAAGCCUCGCCCUCCCUAAUUCCCUUUGGUAGGAGCCCAGGUCACCAAAUCCAUUACAUAAUUCCAGCUCUGGCUGACACCUGUGCCAGGACUGGAGCGGGGUCGGGUUGCAACGCCUGUGCUGGGACUCUGUCUUGGCCACAAGGUUGCCAAAAGCAAGUCGUGGCAGACCAAGUUUGGGUUCCCAAUAUCACUGGUCAUGCAGGAGUUUCGCUGCAUCUUGCUCCCCACAAAAGGUAGAGUAUUAAUUUGUUGAUAACUCUUUUCCAUGUCUGAAACCACUUAACUGGUGGUGGGAUUUCACUUGACAGCACACAUGUACACAAGCUUAGUCUGAGCUGGGUAGCUGUUGGAAUUAAGUCUGCAGCACAGAACUCUAUAUGGUGUCUCCAGCUCGACUUCAUUUCACUUUACUACAGCCCGCAGCAUAGACUGGCUAAUCUCUGCUAUCAGAGGUACUUUCUUGCCAACAGAAGGCAGCUUUAAUACUCCUUAACUGAACAUAUGCUAGCUUGUUCUUGGGAACAAAAUAUAGCCGUAGAUAAUUGUGAGACUACAGGUGUGAGUGACUGAGAAAGAGGUAGGAGGAGGGGCGGGGUCGGGCACUCGGGUAAUUUGUCAGGCCCUCUGAGCUACUUCUAAUCCACUAUACAGGAUUUUAAGCUGAGAAAACUUACCCUUCCUUCAAAUUUCUCAGAGAUAAAGUGUGAAUAGUUUUAUUUAAGUUCCUCUCACUCUGCACCCCAAUCAAAUCAGGUUUUCUUACUAGACUUAUCUUUUCCCUAUCUGUGAGGCAGAGGCUCAUUACAUAUACCAGUCUGGCCUCAAACGUUUAAUCCUCCUGUCUCAGCUUCCUAAGUGCUGAGAUGAUAGGUAUGCAUAUAGCACUCAAUUCAAUCCUUUUUUUUUUUUAAAAAAAGAUCGAUUUGUUUUUAUUUAUGUGUAUAUGCGUAUAUGUCUGUGUGAGCAUAUGUGUGCAGGUGCCUGAGGAGGUCAGGAGAAGGUGUUAGAUUCUCCAGAGCUACAGUUACAGGCAUUUGUGAAGCACCUGACAUGGCUGCUGAGGUUUCUGCCUAACUAGUAAACACUUUUAGUUGCUGAGACACCACCUGCUCAGGCAACGCAGUCCUGGCUGGCCUGGUACUUACUAUAUAAGGCACUAGCUUGGGACCCCACCAGUCCUUGAGACUAACCUUUUAAGAAUAACAUUUAUUCCAUGCCUCCUCCACCCCCAACUCCAUUCUCAGUAUGGAUUGAGUCCUGUCAUCAACAACAAGAAAAUGUCCCUUUUCUGGAAAAUAUUGUCCAGAAAGCAGGUUGUCCUUUUCUAGACAGCAAUAAAAACAAAACAAAACAAAACAAAACAAAACAAAACAAAACAAAACAAAACAAAACAAAACAAAACCACCUAAAAGUCAAGGGUUGUUCCUCUAAAAUGUCGAGUUCCCCUCCAGGCAUGUCUCUUUCUACACAAAAUUAACAUUGCUUCUCAUCUAAACUCACCGGAUAAAAUGCAUGCUACAUAGUUUAGAAAGCCUAGCUUUGAAGGCAGUGCUUUUAAAGGACAAAGUGCGCUUGUCUUUCGCAGACAAAGAAGAGUUCUAUUCUACUCUUGCAAUCUGGAGAGAGAAUUACAGUAGCCAUUUUAGGCUUCUGGGAGGACCGACUUUAGUGGAGCUAAACAUCUCUCCCCUUCUUUGCUUAAACUACAGUUCCUAUCCAGAGGACGGGCACUCAGCGCAGGUCCGUGAGGUGGUUUGACUUGAGAAACAUAUUCAGUCCCUUUCACGGUAACUGAUCCAUUCUCUCAUAAACUAAAGCAGUUUAUGUACUUUAUUUUACAGAAACAUUAGAACGUGGGGGCUUUCUACAAAACAGUUUGUAAGGGGAUGAGACAGCUUGUCUGAAUACACCUUUCAAGAAGCCACCGUGAGAGAGAACUAGGGAGAACAUGUAUGGUGACAGAAGAGGUUAUGUAGGUGCCCAGACAGCCAUUCUAUAGAUGAAGUUGAAUGUAUGGUGUCCCACAGAUGAAGACACUUUGAAGCAAUCUUUUCAUGUGUGUUACGAGAAGGCAAGGAAGGUAUCUACGAAAAACCAACUUCUCUCACAACAUAAUCUAAAGAGACUUUACUCCCAUAGCACUCUGCAAGUCUUCAGUGAGACUGUAUACUGAAGCUAGCUUGCCACAGAAGAGUGACACCUUUGGGCUAGAUCAAUUGACUGCAGAGGCUUCUGGGGGCAUAUGCACAUAGUAGUGAUUGUCAUACUGUGAGCAGAGUACAGGCGCUUUUAGAGAAGCAAUUAGAUUGACAGAAGGUGUCAUAUUCCACACAAUAGAUGGGAGAAGUCCAGGCAGGUAAUCCAAGCAUCAUUUGGAAUCUCUGCUCCCAGACAUGUGGACAUAUGGACCUGCAUUACUGCAUUUGUUCACCGGGAAAUCCUGAAAUAUGUAUAAACUGAUGAUGGUAGAUGACAGGUGCUUCAAAAAUUCUAAUGAAAUCGAUGUAGGGUAACAGAUUCUAUUUCAUUACCAAAAGGAAUAUAAAUGAAAAAGAAUGCCACAUGGAGUCUAUGUCUUGUCUUAUGCAUUAGGUAAUCAACUAGGUAAUCUCUUUCCUAUGAAAUGAUUUACACAGACUUUUCCUUUUUAGCUAUGUAUUUUUUACAUUCUAGUUUUCUUUUAAAAAAUUCUCUUCUCAGUACAAAAGAGGUAACUAAAUUAUUAGUCCUUUUCGAUUCUGUGAGACUAUGUAUCUCAUCUUAAGGCUAUUUAAUUAAAAUUCAACAUUUUUCUCCAAAGAAUUAGUAUCUCAUAUUAAAAGCUUCAAACCAGCCAAUUUCUCUCUGUGUAUGUAGUUUCAGUACUGAAUAACGUAUAUUUUCAUUGUCUUCUUACUUUUAUCUGUGCCUAACUAUACAGCUGAAAUUUAAAACCCUUUUGUGAAAACCCCCAAAUUACUCCCAUUAACCUUUGUUCAAAUCCAAAUACUCAUGCUCCCUUGCAUAACGGGGUUCCCUGACUUUGGAGGGUUCAUGUGUCAAGAACACAUGCAGGAAUUAUUACUGUUAGCUGCAUGUAUGUUGCAUUCACACAAAAAGCAAGAAAGAAAAUUCAUGCACUUAGGAAAGGCAGCUUGCUUUCUUCUGGUCUUACGUCCCUUGGGCUUGACUUUAGCAGCUGAGGAGGACACACAUGUGCGGGACACACUCCAUGGGCUCUGGCACGAGAAACCAUGUCAGUAGGUAGAGCAGUGUGUAAUGACCCCUGUGUGCAGGGAUGCCUAACACUGGUUCAGGCCAUGUCGUCUAGGACUGACCACCCUAAGAUGCUCCUUUAAAUACGGAAUUAGGAAUAGAAAAUCUGAACAAAAGUAUAGUGUGCAUUCCAUUUAUGAUUCCUAACAGAGUUCUUGGACAGGGCAAGACUAAGUGCCGAGGAAUUUCUCUACAGGUUUUAAUAAUCAAAUCUGUAAGCAGUCUCUAGACUACAUUUAUGUAUACCACAAUUCUUUUUUGUUCUUAUUCCAGAAAUGAAAAAGAUACAAUAAUAUACCGUGAGUUUAGUAAAUCAGCACUUUUGUCUUUAUUAGGCAAGUGAAUCAUGUAUAAGAAAAAUUAACUCAUAAAGUACCUAUCUGUGUUAAAAAUCUAAAAACGUUCAAAAUAUAAAACUAUUACACGGUUUAUGUCUAGAUUAAUAUUCAUUCUAAGCAUAUCUUUCCUUCUACUGAUGAAAGGUGUGUGUGUGUGUGUGUGUGUGUGUGUGUGUGUGCGCGCGCGCGCGCGUGUGCACAUGCACACAAAAAUAUAAAUAUGAUCUGCUGCCAGUGUAUUUCUUGUUGGGGUCUCUAUUGGUUUCUGGCCUGACCAGUUUGUAUUGGAUGACCAAUAAGGGGCUCAUCCCCAGGAGAGGCUAACUCUUCUACUUGGGCUAGUUACUAGUUGCCUAUAGUUCUUUGUCCAGGGGUGGAACCCCAUGCGAUUUUCUCUCUUCCACAUUAGCAUGCUUGUUAUGACUGUUACUCUCCAUUGUUUAUACUGCCAUUUCUAGGAGAGACUGUUACAGUAAACUUCCUGGUAUUUUCCCAUUUACAGUGUUUCAGCUCUCAACUCUAUGAUGUUCCCUGGGUCAUAAAUGCAGGAGCUGUGACGUAGAUAUAUCCACUGUGGCUGGGCUCUCUCCUAGCCAUUGAUCUCUGCAUUGUUCUCAGUUGCGGAGGAACACAUAACUGUAACUUCAGAUCCAUGGGAUCUGAUACCACCGGCCUCUGCUGAACCCCACACUCAAAUGCACGGAUCUCCAGGCUCCAAGUACAUAUAUCUAAAAAAAUAAAGCCUGAAAAAAGAUAUUGGCAUUGAAGGUGUUGUUUUUUUUUCCCAGUAGGUUAUUUUUCAGUAACGCAGAAAACAUCAAUUAAAGAUAUGAAUGGCUCCAAUAUAACAAAAUGUCACCACUUGUUUUCUAUUGAUCACAGAUUAUUUCACAUAAGCAUUCAAAUAGGACAGCUCAUAGAAUUAUUUGGACUGCAGUGUGGGUGAGCCUAGGGGUCAUCUGGAUCUCCCCCUGCUCCCAGAAGGUGCAGAAGCAGUGGCAGGUCCAAUCUCUCCAGUGGGGCUUGAGGAGUAAGUCAGUAAGCCCUCAGUCUGCCUUCCUCCCAAACACAGCUGGUAUGCCAUCUUGCCUGGACUUUUAACUCCUCCCAUCACACAGCUCCAGCAUCUUUUUUUUUUUUAACCACCCAUGCACAGACUUUAUUAUGCACAUUUACUGUUGAAUCCUUAAUUACUCAUUAUUCAUCAUUUAUGAAUUUGUCUCCUUGGGUGCAUUAAGGGGCUUAAGAGGCCCUUAACAAAAGCUUUUUCUGGUUUUGUUUUGUUUUGUUGUUUUGUUUUGUGUGUUUUGUUUUUAAAUUAAACACAUAGCAGUCUGACAUAUUUUAGUGCUCAACUCAACAAGUGCUACAGAGCUGAAAGAAAGACACCUUUCCUCUUGUUAAUGUUUUCUGGGGUCUCCCAACUGAACUGAAUUUGUCUGUCUGUGAAGCAGAGACAGCAGCAGGAUCUAGACCACUUAAUGUCUGCUUGCUAACUGCUACUGUGCCUUGGGUGUUGUCACUGGUCCUCCAGAUGUAAGAUGGUUUUCUGAUUAUAGUGCUCAAAUUGUUGCAUGCUUUCUUGCUCUUCCUGGGAGCUUCUUAUAGCACAGGCCUGUUAACUUGUUAUCCUGUAUUGCCAGGAUGUAGCAUGGGACCUGGGAUAUGGCAACAAUCAUAAAUGGUUGAGACGUAAUCAAGAGACUGAAAUGGAUACACAGAGCAGGAAAGAACAUACAAGUGUCUGUCAGGAGGAGGAAGCUCAGGCUCACUGCCAGGUUUUCGUUACGGGGAUGUCUCUCUUCUUACUAUUUUAUUUACUACUUUAUGUAAUUUUUAAAACUUACCAUGUUAGUAUUUUUUUAAGUAACUACUACAGGUUUGUUAUUUUUGUAGUUUUAAAGUAAGAAAACAACAUGGGGCUGCUCAUAAUUCAUAAUUUGAAGUUCCUUUAUAAUUCAGAAUUUUAAUCUCAUAGCUUAAAAAUGAGUGGAUUGAUAUAAACUUAAACCUCAGGAUAGCUGAUCAUGCUACAUUGAUGAGUGACACAAGUUGUGAGUAUAUAAUUUCUAUAAGGCAAAAGGACAGUGAGAAUGAAUUCAUCAUAGCAAAGGGAGAAAGGAAGAGGUAUUUCAAGCAGAAUGUAAAUUACAGAAAAGCACAAAAAUAUGGAAGGGACGAGCAAGGGGAAAUGUUUGUGAAUAUGCACAUGUACACAGCAUGUUGCCACACUCUUGAGCAUAGCUCAUCUUUAUCUGGAUGUGACAAAAACUGCUCUGUAGUCCCUGAUUCUUCUAGGCUCUGGGAUUAGCCUUAUUUUGAAAACAUUGUAACUUGGGGGAGAAUUUGCCAAUAUGAGUGAUUCUAGAGCAAAUCAGAUGGUGUAGACUUCCUCAGGACUGACGGGCAGUGGCUUAAAGUCCUUAAGGGUCUUUCUACCACAACUCUUCUGGAACCCAGACAUCAUGUGUCUGGGAUAGAACAGUGCUGAAUUGGGAAGUCCGGCAUACUUCAUCCAUGAAGCUUUCUGACAUCCUGAAUCCAGCAUCAAUUUGAAGCUAAAGACAGGAAACAUGCUAUGUAUAAUGUUCAUAAAGUAAGUCAAAUUCAGGAAGAACCAGAAUAAUAGCUGAUGUUGAUUUCUCAAAAAAGGAAGAAGAAGGGGGAAGAGAGGGAAGAGGUGGAAGAGGAUGAGUAUGAUGAGGGAGGAGGAGGAGGAAGAAGAAGAAGAGGAAGAAGGAGGAGGAAGAGGAAGAGGAAGAAGGAGAAGGAGAAGGAGAAGGAGAAGGAGAAGGAGAAGGAGAAGGAGAAGGAGAAGGAGAAGGAGAAGGAGAAGGAGAAGAAGAAGAAGAAGAAGAAGAAGAAGAAGAAGAAGAAGAAGAAGAAGAAGAAGAAGAAGAAGAAGAGAAGAAGAAAGCAAGCCAGAAUGAAUUCAACAAUUGAGAAAGAGAGGAAAGGAAUAAAUUAACAAAGAUCAGGAAGCAGGUUUUGUGAGAGUAUGAAACGUGAUUGUAGCUUCACGUAUGAAUCUUUUUAGACUGUGGCACUUCCGCUGCAAAUCUGUUACAGGGGAAAAGGCUGAAUCCAAAGUCACAGGGAGCUUUAAAAAUAAUUCUUCAGAGCAUCUUCUCUUAUAAACUAUUCAUAUUUCAUACUAACAAAAGUAGAUGCAUAUGCUAUCUUCAGAAACUGCAGUAAUUUCUAACGUUUACUUUUGUUUCUUCGUAGUUUCUUGUCUAUUGUGAUUCUUCCAUUCAUAUGUAGGGUCACUGCAUGAGCUCAUUUGAGACGACAGUGGACUAUAUCCUACUCUUUCUUACCUGGCGGUGCAACUAGGCUGUCAGUCACUAUCGCUCCCACUUUCUCCUGGACUUAGGAGAUUUCUGUAUAUUUCUCUUCCUAUUUUGUUCCUUGAUUCCAGCUCCUCUCUUAUUCCAGUCCCCUCUCAGAAAGUGUUACAACUUAGUUCUCUGAGCCAGAAGCCCAGAAAUCAUCCUCCAUUUCAUCACCUCCUCUCAUCUGUUGCUCAUCUUGCUUUUCUGUCUCCUUCCUCAGCCUGUUUGGUUUCUGACCCCACUUUCCACAUACGCCUCCUUUAUACAUCAGGCAGGAUCUAAUUAAAAUGAAAACCUGAUUGCAUCAUAGCUGUUUUUAUAAACCACGGUGGCCACCAACAGCCGUGUCACACACAAGCAUGCACAGCACACUCUCCAGCUGCUUCUCCCCUUUAGUUCUUCCCUCAUUUUCCAGAGCACUGUUUUCACCAAAGGAGAAUAUUCUUAUCAUUUCCCAUGUUUGUAGGAAGAUCCACACACUCUUGAUCUAUGCCUUUUGUUCCUGUCUGUGAUUUCCUUGCUUGCUUUUCCUCUCUGUUUUGCAGGCCUUAGUCAACUUAGAAUUGCUAAUUGGAUAUUUUUUUGCACCAGAGAUGUAUUUUUGCGGCUGCUUCUACCAGUUUACCACAAGGAGAACAAAAAUCAAAGUAUGCAACAGGUAUCUUUAUACCUUUACUUUAGUUUUCACUGGGAAUAAACAUUUCCCUGAUAUACAUUGAAAACAUGUGAUGGUUGGAUUUCUGGUCUACUUCUAGCUUGUUGGAAAGGCAGAGGAUUCAUAGACUUUUCUAUGAAGCAAUAAGAAUAAAGAUGUGAAGCUAGCCAUGGAUUCACUGGUAUCUUAGAACAUUUGUUAAUACCCCAGAAAGAGACACAAAGCUUUAUUUCUAAGGCAUUGAGAGACUCCUAAGAUGUAGAGGUAACUCCUAAGAUAGCGUUUCCUUGCUAAAAAACACUAGUCUCUCUGAAGGCUGAAGAGAAUUAAGAACUCUAAUGGGCUUGCUUGACUCUGGCCCAUUUUUCCUUGCCCAAUGGGAAAUCCCUCUCUGCCCUUAUCUAUAGCAUAGUUUUUAGUUCUCCAGUUACAGGCUCAACAUGAGCUGCUAAUAGACCUCAAUCUGGGUCAGAAAUGAAUUAUUCCUCAAUUUCUUUUCCAUUCCUUGAGUUCUUCACUGAUGGCCAUGGAAGAGACAAGAGUCUGAAGAAAGUCAGGAUUCACUUACAUCCUCACUCUCUUCCUCCUGCCACUUGAACAUUUAUCACUUCAGAAAUUAGCCUAUUUCCCAUCAAGUGGCCACAAUCUAUUUUGGAUGGCCCUGGUGCUGUUGGCAUUUUGAUGUUUAUUCUGUUUUCCCAGGAGGGGUGGUCUGGAAUGAGGAAUGAGUCACUCAGGUGACUUCUUGUGAACCUUCCCCUAGUUAAGAAAGGAACCAAUCACUUGGCAAGUAGGCAGGACUUCCAGGUUGGAGAGAGGAAGAGAGGAGGCAGGAGAGAGAUAGGGGCUUUUGGAUAGGGACAGUGAGAGGACAAGAUGUACCUACAAGUGUCCCCUGGUUUAGAUGGCAAAUUCACUAGGAAUCUACUAGGAUUCACCACCAGAGGAUUGAGAUUUAGCUAGGCUUACAAGAUUAGGAUUCUAGUUGUUGCGCCCAGUGAUUGAGUUACCAUUGUUUCUGAACUAAGUUUGUGUGGUAUUUUCCUUCACAUGCCGGCUCGACUGGGUUCAAGAGAAAAAGGUAUGGUGGCAAAGUGUGAGUUUGCCAAUUGUGCACCAUAAGGGUCGUAGGAGUUUUGAAGCACGGGGCUGGCAUGGUAGCGACUCCCCAGUAGAGAUUUAUUGAGCUGGGUGGAGAGAUUUCAGAGCUCUGAGUCAGAGAGUCUCCAUGAGAUGAGAACAGGCAGGCCAUUGCCCACCAGAGCCUGGCUGGCCAGCCUGUUGGGGACUCGCUGACAAUAGCAUGGAUUCUUUUUUAUUAUUUUCCUCAACAACAAUCCAGUCCCGGUAUAAUUUUUUUGGAUAUUCUACAGUAAUUUGAUGGCAAAAAUAGGAAAGGACCUUUUAUGUAACAUCUUUCCAGUGAGUACAGCCUGAAGACUUUGCAGGUUCUAAUUCUCAGUCUGAAAUGUAAUUCCAGAGAUGUGCAUUUACCAUGGUAUGCACAAACUAGCAAUGGUACCCCCAUUCCCUGACAUGUUAGAGAGUAACAAAAUUCUGAGGACUAUGCAGUGUCACUGGGGUGCUUUAAGGACAGCCUGUCAGUCAGCCACUGUGGAUGUCCAAAGAAGGAAAUCUGCAUGUGUGAGAACAAGCUUCCAUGACAGAGAACACUCUUUAUGUCUGCAACCUGGUUUUGUCCAGCAUACGGGUGCCAUUCAACAAGCACUGUUUUUAAUAAUGGGAUCUAAGACUUCAGGAACAGUGGCUCUUUUUUAAAGUGGAAUUACAACAUGACCUGAAAACCCAUAGUAGCUAUUAAAUGUGAAUGCAGGUUAUCCAUUGCAAUGGCCACUGUAGAACUCUGGGAUUCCCAUCUCGUAUAAAAGUUAAAAUAAAAAAGGGUGAACAGAGUAUGGUGGACUUCAUAGAGGGCAUGAAAUGUAGUUCAGUGGUGGAAUAGUUGAUCAGCUUUAUAUGGCCCCUGGAAAAAUAGUUACUACAUCUCUUUUAUGUAUUUCUAAAAUUGUAUACUUUUAUUUCAUAUCUGUAUGCUAUCUCUAUUGUUGAUCAUAUCUCAGUUUUUAUUUUUUAGAUUGUAAAAUUAAUGCAGACAGGAUGUCUCUUGAGGACUUUCUGGUCCUGGCAAUUAGCAGAGUGUCUGACAGUAGGAUGUUGCUACAAAUGAGUUAACUCUUCUGGACAGGAGUUGUAUAGAAGAAAAGUGCUAACGACAGCCUGGUGCCAUACAGCAUGGAGCCUCAGACAGGCUAAGAAACAGUUGUGGCUGGAAAGCCCACUUCCUUCCCAUACAUGUGGAGUUUUCCUUACAGAAGUAAUGUUACACGUCAAAGGUCAGCAGCCUUGUUCUUUGGCUGCAUCACCACCACACCCAAUAUAAAAAUCAUUCAUGGGACUUUGUUCAUGUAAUAUUAGUUUACCUAUCUUAUUGCCUGAUAUACCGUCUUUUCUUUUAACAGGGUUUAACUUGUAAUGAGUUGCUAGUGGUUGGUUAGCUAGGCCAGUUAGCUAGGUAGACUGAAUACACUGGACUUCAGGAGACCUAUCUAUGAGCAGGAAACCAGAAAGGCCAGCUAGAAGUCAGAUAAGAGCAAAAGAUUGUGCACAGUUUCAGGAUCAGAGGGUCAGCUUGGAAAUAGAGAUUUAGGUUUAUAGGGUAUUGUUAAUGGUGAAUGAAUAGAACUCCAUUCCAUUUAUCCACGCUGAUAUUAGGUGGGAAGGAAUUCCUAAGGACAGGGACUCUGAAAAGCAAAGCCCCCCUUUUCUUUCCUGUAGUUAAGUUUAUACUGGUGUCUAUAUCUCACCUUCCCUAUCAAAAUGUAAAACAGUGUCUGGACUCACAGGAACGUUAGAGUCUUUACUGUACAGCUUUAUCUCAUCACCACAGAUUAUGUGGAUCAAGAAUAGGUGCUGGAUUUUCUUCAACGGUCUUGAGUAGGUAACUAGUAGAAAGAAGUGUUACACGCUACUAGUAUUUAAUGGUCAAAAAAAAAAAGGUGUUUUAAAAUAAAUAUGCUGCAAACCUUUCCACAGCAUGCUUAGUCUCAGUCUUGCAUUGGAGGUCGGGCUGCACCUGCCAAGCACAUCAGCACUGUCCCCAUCUCCGUGCAAUCCUAUCAUGACUCUUCCCACUGUACUGCCACCAACCUCCUACCCAUUCCUCAUUCCAAACCCAGCUUCCAGAGAGCACAGCUGUGCCUUUUAACUGAGUUUCCUCAUACCUGGGAAAGAACAGAUUCCUUAGAAUUUCAUGAGCUAAUGUAGAUUUUGAAUCCAUUAAUCAAAAGGUCACUAUUUGCUUUCUUAACAAUAUAAUUAUUUCCAUCUGGCACUAGCUAAAUAACUGAACAGUGCUUCUAGGACCAACAUCAAAAGUGCCAGUAGCAUUUCCGAAAUAGGACUCUCAGCUCAGCUUUCCACUGGGACAUGCCCUGAGGUUGGCUGGAUCAUUUGUUAUUUGGAGGCUCCUGUCUAUUAGAUUCAUACUCCAGUUCCUGUUAUUUUUACAGUAUUAAAGUGGAGAGCCAGUUUUUAUUAGCAUAGGCAGUUAUAAAUUGAGUAUAAGGAUUAGAAUAAAUAGGAUGAAGUAAUAGAACAAAAGAGUCGGAAAACAUCUAGUGAAGUCAUUGUAAAAACUUGGAGCUUUUCUUGUAGAUAAAAUACUUAUAAAUGGAGCACAUUUCGUAGAAAAGUGACUUGGAAAGCCUGGUAGUAUCACUAAUAUAUUCUGAGCAAGACCUAUACAGGCUAAAUCACUGUUAUUCAUUUAUGGGCAAGCUUAAAAAUUUCUAGCUUGAUACUUUUAAGAAUCAAGAUAGAUAGAUAUCUAUAUCUGCAAAGGUUCCAAAACUUUUAACAAAUCACAGUUGAUAAAAUUACAUUUCCAUGAUGUCAUUUUAUACAAACAGUAGGACUAAGGUUUCAUUCAGUUACUUUCAUCACGAAUGGAUGCUCCAAGAGUCAGAAAGAUCACUGAAGACUUCAUUGGGGAAAGGUGUAGAGAGAGAACGUUGAAGAAAAGGAAUAAUGACAGUGCAGAUUACAAAGAACAUGAUGAUAGACACAGAGGCAGACAGACAGACUUUGGGUGGGAGAGAAGGAAAGCAUGAAUGACAAUGUUGUAGUGUUGUCAAAAACAGGCAAGGCCAAGAUAACGAGGCCACAAAGCACUGUUACAUGUGUCAGUCAGCUUCUUGUCCUGUUAGCUUUGUACUUUAAGAUCUAACAUACAGCUUUAUCACAAGCCACUGUGACCUUCACUAUGGGCAGUGGCUCAGUCUGAUCUCUAACUCACAGCAACUAAGCGGAGGCUGUCAGCCAUAGCCUACUCUGUCCUCUGGCCCAAGAUGGCCUUCUCUGAGGAGUUUCCAGGCAUUAGGUUUCUCAUUCUUAUCGGCUUCAGUUGCUUGUUUUCAUCACAAUAGCUUCAGUUGUCCAUGGAAAUGUUCGGCAACCUGACUUUUAAGCUUGACAUUUCAAUUUUUAUAGCUUAUGAAAUCUUAGUGAUUUUUAUUAGUCUAUUGGUGAAAUCUACAAAUGUUUAUUUGCACAAUCAUUUCUUCCAUAGACUUUACCAGAUAAUCAUGAAAAUAUUUUUUCUUCUGUUCACAAAGAGGAAACUAAAUCAAUCUUUCUUUACUAUCAAAAAAUUAAUCUUAAUAUUUUAAUUGAAUGUAUUUCUCAGCAAUAAAACCUACCAUUUGUGGAGCAAUUAUCUUUGUCAAGAGUUUAUCCAUGCAUACUUGCAUCCUUGCAUGGAUACACACACACACACACACACACACACACACACACACACACACACACACACUAUAUAGUAGUGUCAUAGUAGAUACGUGGAGAUCUACUAUGAUUGCCAUUCCAUGGAUGCCAAUGGUUUAGGAAAAAAAAUCCCAAGAUAGUUACUAUAGAAGCAAGCUUAUGUACUGUGUGUGAACUACACUGCUUACUUCCAAGGAUUUAGUAAGGUAUUUGUCUUAGAACUGUGCUGCUGCCAGAUUGUCUCUUAAUAAAGAUUUCCUAGGGACAGGGAACACAGCUCAUAGGUAGAGUGUAUCCCUAGUAUAUGCAAGAACCUACCUGGGUUGAGUCUUUCAACAAGCACACAAAAACAUGAAAAUCAUAUCUAUGUAACUUUUGACCAGUUUGCCUGAUAAUUUUUUUCCACCAAGGGCAAUAUCUAUAAUAAAAUGUAUGUUCUAACAUGUAAUCUUAUCUAUACUAUUUCCUCAUUGAUACUCCAGUGACCACUGGAUAGAGAGGACAGCCCCUUCUCUGGCAGCUAGGUAGUAUCUCUCUGGCUGAAAGGAAGGGACAGAAAGAUCGUAUUUCUUUUAGCUCCUGAGGCUGAGAGGGAGUGUGGUCUAAGACACGUAGGCUGACUUGGGGGCAUCCACGUGCAGAGCUAUUGCGAUUAGUAAGAUGCUCCUCGUAAGAAUCCCAAUUCUCAGUUACUGAGAAAAACACGUUUUAAUUAUUUAUUUUGUGAGAAUCUACACUUUUGAGAUUAAGCCAACUGCUCAGUUCUUUGUUUCUGAUCGCCUGGACAGGUGAGGGGUGGGAAGACGUGGGUGUGGAAGAGAAAGUAUAUACUUUUUUUUUUUGAAAGUAUAUACUUUUAUGAACAAACGAAUAAUGGACUCUGCACAGUGCUGUGGGUCUUGCGGAAAACUUGCAUGCAUCUUAAGGAUUCCUUUCCUAUCCACAGCUACGUGAGCUGCUUCUUUCCCCCAUUUUAACACAGACACAAGGAAUGCUGUUUUAAUUUAUAGGCCGGGUGAUAGGAAAUGUAAAGGAAUCCAGUGUAAGACUUCUCAAUUUUCUUUAACAGCUAUGAGGAAGACAGGGGGAAAAAAUAAAAUCUUAAGUGAAAAUUUCCCAAAGUUGCAAGGAAAAGGGGACUAUUUCAGAAGAGCUUCAAGAACCACAGACUUGGGCUUUCACAUCUUGUCAGAAAAUCUGCACUGUUGGUAAAACCUGGGGACCUGACUCAGCAGAGAAAUGCCACCCACAGUCUCCGACUGUCUCUGCAGUUGUGAACUCUCUGUUUUCUCUGGAGGCUUACCACAGCACACUCAAUACCCAUGUCUCUCAGAUGGAAAACUGGAUGUUGUGGAAACGGAAAUAAAAUCAUGUUGUAUAAUAUUUAAAGGCAUUUCUCGUAGCCAUGCUUGGAGUUCUGCAUGGACUUUAACAUCAGUUCUCUGUUGGACAAAUAACACUAACUAACCACUUAACAGUUUCACAAUGCUCAAACUUGCCGUCACCAUGGCUUUGAAUAACAUCUCGCUUCUUUUUAAAGAUCACAGUUGAAAGAUGAGAGGAAACAGCACCAUUAAAAGAGGAAGUAAAAUUGCAGUUCAAAGCCUGUUUCCAUGAGGUAAUGUGCAUUAUUGACCAAUCAUCAAAGAGGCCCCAUCUAUACUGAAAUGAAGCAUGAGGUGACAGCAGGUGGCAGGGGGCAGUCAGAAACCUCUUACCAGCCCUUGUGCAUUAGUUAUUGCUGAGGCCAAAGGGUUAGAGAAAGAUCAAUGAAGGUUUGUUGAUCUGACACAGGAACCUGUGCUUAGGGAAAUGGAAGCUGUGCAUCUGAGUUCAUCUGCUGGGACUGCAGGUUUCAUCCCUUUAUGAAAGCCACAGCAGCGGAUAGUGGCAGCAGCAAGCCACCCCUUUCCCCUCACCUCCCUCUCCCCCCUCUCUCCUUAGAUCUCUGUCUCUUGUGCAUGUGUGGAUCUCUAGCAGGAAGUUAAAACUUUUGAAAUAAUUUUCUGAAUUAUUUCUGUGUAGAUGUAUUUCCACACAGCUAUUAUUGCCUUUUUUUCCCCUCUAAAAGGAAACACUUCAAUUUAGAAAUUAGAACCCCAGGAAAGUCAGGUUUUCUUUCCCCCACAUUAGUUUGCUUGCAAACUGAAUGGUGGAUUCUAAUGACACACAGAUUUCGCCCUCUAAUCAGAACCUACCAAUUUAUUAUCAUACAAUUUAUUACUAUUUUCUCUAAUAUAAGUAGAAUUUCUCCUAUUCACAGAAACUCGCUUAUGGAAGGUGUUGAACUGUUUUUCUGGAUUUUGAUGACUUGUUUUCUGGUUGCUAACAACUAGUGCCUUGGUCUGGGAGCCAGUGGUCAAAUGUAGACUUCAGAACGACUUGUUUGCUGCACCUCCAAUCAGAGAAAGUUUCCUUCCCCAUCACGGUUCAUCCACACUGUCCUUACAGAGCAAACUAGGUGUGGCUCAGAGUAAACAUCAGUGGUUUAGAAAUGCUAUUUCCCCCAGUGGCAAUAUACAUUGUGGGUGUGUGACUGGAAUAUUUAAAACACCUGCUGUCCUGGAACUGAGCCAAAUGUAUAAUACAUUAGCAAAUGCUUGGCUCCCUUCCAGCAGCAUGGAUCAUACUGCCAUCAAAAUACUGAGGGAGUUGGCACAGAGACACUUAAAAGUUUCACUAGAAGCAAUUUAGGACACGCAUGUGUUUUUAUCGUUAACAGGAUCACCACACUAAACACCUCUGACUGGUUAGUAUUAUAAUGAAAUUAAUUAUUUUGAGUCAGAAAGGAAGCAGCAGCAGAGGAGAAGAACUCUUUGUUAGAUUUCUGAUUACCUUCUCAGGCUUUUAAAGUUCAGUGUCUUCACACUCCACCCCUCUCACACACAAGGCUUUUUCUCAGAGGCACACAGUUAAGAAGGCAAACUACACAUUGAAUUAUAACCCUAACAAAGUUUGCUAAUAGAAACUGGGAUAGGUACCCUGUUAGAUGGAGUCCUUAUUUCUUUUCAACAUUAUUUUUGAUGUUUCUUAAUAGGAUUAGUUUUCCAUUUGUGCAUAUUUUCUCAGUAUAAAAAAAUCAGUAGACUGUCAGAAGAACUUCAUUAAAUACCAUUUAUCCCUCUAUCAUGUAAAGUACUUCACAAAAUGACUUCACUCCUUAUGCUGAGUACUCAUUUCUCUCAGGUCCUUAAACACAGUAGGGCAGGCACACUCUGACCCUUAGCUUAUAAAACGAUUUUUAAGUUGUAAAAACAAAAUUUACUGCAGAGUUCAGUACUUAUAAGGGGUGUGGGGGUUAUGUGUGAGUGUGUGUGUGUGUGUGUUCAAUGUUUUAAAACUUGCCUAACAGGGAGCAGCAAGAAAAGAAAUGGUGUGGCAUGCCUGAAGAUCACACACCCUACUUGUGCUAAUGGCCAUGUAUAUUACUUGUUGAUGUUCACAGUAAGACCAAACACGAGGUUACAAUUUAAAAAGCUGAAUUUUAGUGGAGUUUUGAAACAUGCCCAAGGUUGCAGUUUAUACAAGUAUGGAAACGUGGUUUGUGAGUCUCCAGGUUGUACCUGCCUCUUGUACCACGUUAGCCAGUGCAGUAGUGAGAAAGCUGGGCUUUCAGGCGUCCAACUUUCUAUAGUAUAUAGAAAGCUUAAGGGUCUACAUUUUUGAUACUUUAUGUGUACAGAGGCCUGUUCUGUUUGUAUAGUUAUUAAAAUUGCAUAUUCUUAGGAAACUUCAAGUUCUUCAAUUUUAUGUACAGAUUCUUAUAUUGCUUUAAAUAUGUGACCUCAGUUUCUAUAAAUUUUUAGUAUACUGUAUAUAAUAAAUAUUACCCAGAGAAUUGCGUGUGCAUACAAUAGGUAUAAAUUGAAAUCACAUGCAUUUAAAAAUGACUUACAUACAAUCACAGAUAUUUACACGGUCACUGAAACAGCUUGCAAUGCACAAACAUGCACUCUCACACACACACACAAGAAAAGCUUUUGGGUUUUCUAAAAACAUACACGUACACUAUUUGUACAAAUUAAAAUAGGUUAGCACUUUAAAAUUUUCUACUCUUUAUAUUUUGAGAUAGCUAAUUUUACUCAAAACUUUCCCAGGUUUUCUUUCCUGCUAUUCUCCAGCUUGAGUCCAUCGUUUCUUUUUCAUCGCAUAUGUUAUGUGAUGUUUUUAUCACAUAUAAUUCCACACUGAGCAGUUAGUGUUUCUUGGGUCUGGCUCUUCUCUCUUAACUACCUCCCUGCCCUUUUCCUACCCCUCCCUGUAUGUUCAUGUAGUGUCAUUAUUAACAUGCUGGUAGUUUUUAGCUUUGCCCCCUUCUCAUGUCGCUCUGAAUCAGCUCAUCUUUUGAACGAUCUCCCUUACAGCCUUUGAAGCUCCUUUCAGAAUUUUACUGUUUUGAACCUACAAUAAUAAUACAUAAUACUUUUAGGGUUGAAUAUUCUGCUUCCUACUAGUAUUAGUCUGUCCCAUAUACCACCAUCAUUAUGAUCUUCAUUAUAAAUUUUACUAUGGGCCAGACAUCUGUUCCAAGUCUUCAAAAUGUUCUUACUUGUCACAGCAGUUAUAUACUCGUUAUUAUUACUAAUCCUGUUUGCAAAGUUGACCUUGAGACACAGAACCUAAACAAUCUCAGGGACAAAGUGUCAGUCAUACAGCAGAGAGAAGCAGACAACUCAGGUACUUUCAGAGCUGCUGCUCUCUGACAUACGCUAUGCUGCCCUCGUUAGACACCCCACACACCGUCUCUCUAAACUGUCUAAACUAGUUGGUUCACACGUGCAUUUUCUAUAUUAGCUAGAUGGUUGGAAGAAUCAGCGAUCAUGUUGUAUACACCUUUCUCUCUCUCUUUCCUAGUGUUGCUGAGUUCUGUACGUAGUUGUAAUUUAAUAAUUAUUGCUUGAAUAAAAAAGAUCUACAGUCAAAAAUAAAAAUUUAAACAUAAAGACCAAAAGGUCACUUUUAUAUUUGAUAAUAAAAUGUAACUACCAUCCUGAUUGAAUCAGUAAUCCACAAAAUAUAUCCAAUUUAAUGCUAUUAUCCUCAAUCAAAAUGGCCUUAUUGCUUUCUUUACUACUGUAGUUAACAGUACUUUAUUGUCAUUAGAAGCAUCUGAUAUGCACAUACACACAAAAGUGGAAUUUAUCUUGUCUAAACCAACUUGCUUGUUUUAUUUUGACUUCUAUUAUAGAUAAAUAGUCCUGAAGUUGUUUCAAGUCCCUACAGAUUAGGAGGUAGUCAAAUCGAUAGCAACUACAUAAUACAUAAAGGAUGGAUGCAAAUUUUAUAGCGAAGAAAUUAAUUAUUAAUUUGUAUCUGUUUACUGUAACAAAAAUUUGUUGUCAGCUCUUUCUGGUUUAACAAUGCUUGAGUUAAGGUUGAUAAAUUAUAUAUGAAAAUAUGACUGUUUAAGGGCAAAAUGACUCUAACAUAAUUAUACUUUGAGAUGUUUAUGAAUGUCAUAUAACCUAUUGUAUGUAGAAACUCAGAAACAGUUCUUUCUGUAUGCUAGCAUAGUGAAUAUAUGCUAUCUAACAAUAUUAAAUUUUUUAUGUCAACAAUUAAAAAGACAAUAUUUUGCAUUGCAAAGACUGUUUUAUAGUGAAAAAGAUACUAUAAUAUCGAAGAUAACCAUUGCCAAAGUUGAGUGAAUAAUGACAAUUUUGUUUUAAAGUAUACACGUCAACAGCUUUGUCCCUAGAACACAGCUCUGAGUGGCUCACUAUCUAGGUUGGAAAUGGUUAUGCAGGAUUGUGUGUCCUAUUUUUCCAUGCCUGCAGUAAAGAUACAAUAUGGGAAUUCAGCUUGGUAAUUACUAAUACACCACACAGACACAAUUACACCCUGUGUGCUGCAUAAAGGAAUCACUUGUGGUCUGCAUCCAUUACAAAGAGCGGUAGGGGGCCAACAGGGAAACCGACAAAAUGCUUUACAAGACGGAAGGAGACCAGAAGAGUCAAUGUACACAGAUACAAGGACCUUGAUUCUUCUAGCAAUGAUUUAAGUCUCUUUCCAUCCAUUAGUUUCCUUUGUCUCAGGAGUCCUUAGCUGCAUUACAGGAACUGAAAAUAACAAUGCUCAGACCCAUGCAACUCCUGAGCUGCGCUGACAUCUCCACUCCUGUUGCUAUGUUUGACCUGAUUAUUUAGAUUACUUAACCAAAAGAAAACGAUGUGUGUGUGUGUGUGUGUGUGUGUGUGUGUGUGUAAUCACCACAGCAAAAACUGUCUAUGUGUCUGUGUAAAAAAUGGCUUAUUCAGAAUGCCAGUUUUAAAAACAGAAAGCCAUCUUCUAAAGGAUUUUUUUUGAGAUGGUUUUUAUUCCAUUUUAAGAAUUAAAAGGGAAAAAAAAAACCUGCUUGGGUGUAGACAGCUUUAAGAAAGUGGUUAAAUAGGGGAUCUAUUCCGCCAAGCCUGUCCUUCCACCAAGGGCCUUAAGCCAACGCGUCAGCUGCUGCUCUGCAGCCACAGUGAGUCACACAAGUAAUCUCUCUGUGAAACUUGAAAGUUUUGAGUUUAAUUGCAAGCAGUAAGUAGGGCUUUUUUUUUUUAUUAUAACAGAGUUUCCUGUUAAUUAUUACAUGAUGUACAUAAUUUUCCAACAUUUUCAUUUAAGAAUCCUUUUUCUUAAAAAAGAAAGCCUUACAAUUAUGAAAUUUUAAGACCUUACAAAAGUUACUUAUGGCAGUUUGUCAGGUUCUGUGAAACAAAGCCUUGUCUUUCAGAAAAUGUUUACAAUCUAUGAAGGGGAAAAAAACUAUCCUGGGGCUAAAAUGUUUACUGGCACCUCGAAGUCUGAAGAGAGAGUCCAGCCUGUGGUUUCUGGAGGGCACUUUAUCAUGGCCUGUGUUCUCAAAGGUUUCUCUGAAUGAAUAGAACUGGAUUACUCAGCCCUCUGUUCCACGCCUAUUCCUCUCCAUUUUCUUUGGCACGACUGAGAGCCAGGCUAUUUUUAGUUAAGCAGUUUUCUAUUUUUAGGCAACUGCCAGUUAGAAGACAUUUGUUAGGAAAAAAUUAAACACACACACACACAUAUACAGACACACACACACACACACACAUACACGCGCGCACACAAACACACACACACACACACACACACACACACACACACACACACACACACACACACACGAGGAGGGAAGGAAGCCUCUCUCCACAUAUUGUGAAGCAGCCUUCAACCUGUAUCUCCAGGCAUUUCAGCUGCUUUCAAUCUUGGAAAAAUAAAGAAAAAUUCAGAGUUCAGGGUUUUAAAAAUAAACCUACCCUCUGGCUAACAGACCAUAAUACAACAAGCUGUUACUAUGUGAAGCAUUGACUAUAGAAAUCAAGAACACUCUCCAAUGAUUAAACUGAGAGAAAAAGUUGAAGAGCAUUAGGUUAUAGGAAUGUUACACAAGUAUGUAACAAUUUUCCAGCCCUUUAGCCAAAGUAUCCUGUUUUAGAAUUAGGGGGUGGGGACUCCUCUGUCAAGGCUGUGGGAUAGAACUUUAAAGUGGAACUUUUAAAUCAAACUUUAGGAAGAUAUCUGCUGCAUUUUGUUAAUAUAUUUUAUGGGUUUUUUCCCUAAAAUUAUAACCACCUGUUUACAGAGCAACUCUAUAUUUAAAAAAUCAAACCCAAUGGGAAAUCAGACUCCAACAUAUCCAUACCAUGGACAAACCUGGUCUGUACAUACAUUUUAUGACUCUAUCACUGCAUUUACAUAUUCUUUAAUAUUUAAAUAUAUAUUGAAAAAUCUAUAGAUCCUUAAUCUUAUUUUUACUUUAAAUGGCAAUAAAUACUUACACACAUCAAUGUAUUCCACUCAUCAUUGAAAGGUCACUCUUUCAUUUACAAAUCUACCAUGAGGGGCUGGAAAAAUGGGUCAAUCAACAACUAAGAGCAUAUAGUGCUUUUUGAAGGGACUCAGUUUUGGUUUCGAGCUGCCAUAUCUUGUGGCUCAGAACUUCCGGUAACUACUACUCUAUGAGCUCCAUCCCUAUGCACAUUAUACCACACCAUACACAAGUGAUCAAGAAAAUAAAAACCUUUAAAAAUCACUAUGACCUGCCUUUGGGUGCCUGAAGUUGUAAUUUCCUUUUCCUUGGAUAACCCACACUACAGGCAGUGGGACUUCCCUACAGUGUGAAUCCACACUGGGCUUCAGGGUAGUUACAGUUGCAUCCCCAGCAGCCAGCAAGAUGCUUGGCAGUCAGACUCAGCAUCCCCAUUACCACUGGAUGAAACAGCAAAAGCUAUACGUGUUUUGUCCACUCUGGACUAUCUGUUCUGGGUUGGGGAACAGUGAACCUGGCACAAUCAUUUCAUUUCAUUUAGCACCAUGUCUUGCACUUUUAUUUUCUAAGUAUUUGUGAAAAAAUAAACAUUAUAUUGACUUUUGUUUAAAUUUCUUAAUUUCUGUGAAAUGCUAGCUAUUUAUGGAAAGUAUGUUAUUUAUUAAAUUAUACAUUUAUUAGCAUAAAAUAUACAUCUUAAGUUAAGAACUUGUUUCUCUUUGCUACCUUAAUUUUUUCAUUGUCUGAACUUCCUCCUUGGCUUUCAAAGUAUAAACAACUUUUAUAACUAAACAGCUUACAAUAGGCUCUGACAUCUUUUACAGCCCAUAAUCCUAAAUAGAGGCCCAGGAGAAACUUCAAUAGAAACAAUACCAACUCACAUUACAUAAUUUCUCUGCAGGCAGACAAUGGGUGUGUUAUGUUACUGUAACAGUGUUUUGGGGUGCUGGAAAUGAAACCAGCCACCUCCCAUCAUAGGCAUAUAUUCUAACACUGAACUACAUCUCCUUGAAAUUAAUUUUAAAAAUUUACCUUUAAUCCCAAUUUGUGGGCAUUUAGAAUUUAUAUUUCUGAAAGUUCAAAUUAAAUGAUGUUGUUUCAUUAAAAUGCUCGCAAUACAAAAAUGACCAUUUAACUUCUGCUUUUUUUUAAAAAAUAUGAAAGGAACUCAGCACAAUCAUAGCUAAGGAGAACCAAUCACUGGAAUCUGGUGAUUCAUGUCCUUCAUUAGGUGGUGUCCAAACCAUGAUGUCAUCUCAAUGGACAAGAGUGUUCGGCUCACCAGUACACUUCAUACUGUAAAUAGAAACCCUUGACGAUGCACGGCUAUGUAUGAAGGUACAGCUGCAUUUGGUUCUUGACACUCUGAAAUACAUCUGGAUAGCAAGAGAGAAGAUCUGAACCUUCACUUAAUAUCAAUGUAUAUGAGUAUAUAAGGUUAGUGGCUCCAUUUACUGACCAAUGUUGGCUUAUUUCAGCUUCUAUAAAAUGUGGUUCUAUUAUCCAGGACAAUUCUUGUGACAAGAAUGACUCCUUUAUCAUCAUAACAUAAAAGCUAAAUAUAAAAUUUAUUUAAAAAUAUAUACAUUAGAACAAAAGAUAUAACUCAGGAGGGGAGUACUUUUCGAGAAAAAUCAAAACUUGGGGUUGGACUUCAUUACUACUCUCUCUCUCUCUCUCUCUCUCUCUCUGUAUCUUUAUCUCUCUAUAUAUCUAUAUAUCCAUAUAUAUAUAGGUAUAUAUAUAUGUGUGUGUAUGUAUGUAUGUAUGUAUGUAUGUAUGUAUGUAUGUAUCUAUCUAUCUAUCUAUCUAUCUAUCUAUCUAUCUAUCUAUCUAUCUAUCUAUCAAAAGUACUGUGUUUCAGAAACUGAAAGAAUAAAAUAGAUCACUUUUCAGUUACUAGCUAUUCCUAGGGUCACUGUCACUUCAGUUUUCCUCUCUAUGAAAUAGUCUAGUUUGCUAUUAUAAGACUAUGGUAUUUGGUUAUAAGUAAGGGAGGAUUUGCAUGUUGUUUUGAAAAAUACACACAAUUCAGAAACUGAGGUGGUGCCAUAAUUGACUCAAUAUAUGUAUAUAUAUAUAUAUGGUUUUUUGUAGUAUUUUUUGUGAGAAUAAACAAACAUUCAUUUACAGAUGCUGUUUAUAAUGCUUCCUCCCUCAGAACAGCAGCCCUGAGUAGUUACUGAGUUUAUUUACUGAAACAUAGAGAUAAGAUAUUUAAUUGAUAUGAAGAGGCUUUCAGAAUCUAAUUAACCUCCCAGUUAGUCAUUAACUCUAUGACCUUUACAGAUAAUUGACAGAAAGUUUCUUUUUCUUAUUCAGUUCCUCUAUGAAGUGGCUGAAUUUCAGGGUAACAGGAGGCAUGCUGUGAACAGCAAUGGGAUGUAACUGGAUAACGUGGCAAGUAGGGAGCUACUGUAUCAGAAAUACAUAGUGUUCUGUAACAUAAUCUACCCAUGUACUCUGUCCUGUGUACAUGCACCACUAAUGUAAUAUAGUUCUUUCAGUGAUUGAGCUUCAUGGUCAUUUUCAGACUGUUCUAAGGAUUCUCAUGACCAUGAGGACAGUAAAGUCAGUGGCAGAUGUUCUACUGUCCUUCUGACUAACCCCAACCAAGAACAUUACACUUCCCCAGCAGCUUUGAACUUGGGCUCAGAAACUUCCUCCUUACCUGCUCUAGAAAGCCACUACCAAAUGACUGGUCACAGGAGAAGGGAGCCUAGUGUGAUGACCAAAUGCCCUGCUUGCCUCAAGUGUGGCUUGCCUGCCAAGUCAUAUUGGGUGUUAACAAUGGUACUUCCUAAAGAAAACCAACUCUUGCCUGGAAGAAAUAGUAUUUUUGACUAUCAGUGUAAGGAAAUAUUACUGGUAUUAUGCUAAGAAUCUAUUUUGUGAUAUGACCCUGACCUGUAAAAGUACAAAGAAGAAAUAAUGUACAGUCAAAGUUUCAAAUUCCAUUCAGAAGACAGCGAAUGGUCCCAAAGACCAGCAUCAACGAGAAGCAUGCCAGGAAUACAUAGUCCUAUGUCACACAUAGACUCAUCACACUGGAAUCAACACUUUAGGAAGACACUACCAGGAAUGCAAGAUUUGGCCCGAGGCAAUUUGUCCCACUGAUCUUUCUUCCUAAAUUCAGGUAAGGGCCCUGAAACAUAUUCUUCCCCAGGAAUCAAUGGACCUUGGCAUAGAAAACAUACUUUUCGCCAGUACUAGAAACAAUAUUCCUCUUAGGUUUCCUGUGCCCUUUAUAUCUUAGUCUGUAUCUACACCUACAUCUUCAUCUACCUAUUUGUGUACACACACACAUCUGGGUGUACAUUUGUGUGUCAAUGACUGCAUGUCUGUGUAUAGGGUGCACAGUGCGAUGUAUAUGUGAAGGAUGGAAGUAAGUCUUGCCUGUUUUUUUUUUUUUUUUUUUUUUUUUUUUGAACCAGGUUUUACACUGGGCUUUGGGUCUUGCUGAUUAACAGUUUUGUUAGGCAGAAGCUGGAGGGAUCCUCAGCUGGAUUUGCAUCUCCGGUGUGGGAAUGUGCACGGCUGCUGAGGAUUGACCAAGGGUGCUCAUUCUUGCACAGCAGACAGGGCUACCUUCUCAGUGCAUGUUUUGCUUUCUGACAGAACAAUGACAUUUCUUCACUUCAAGUUCAUUUGAAAAGUCACUUUAACUACUAGAACAGAUGAAACUAAAACAAAAAGGAAGUCUCCCUAGACUUUAUUUAUACUAUAAUGAGCAUCAAUAAGUUGAUAUAUAUUGAGUGCCAAUGGUGUCCUAUUGUUAUUUCCUUCAGUCAAAUAAAAACUAGUUGUAAUUUAAAAAACAAAGCAAACAAGCAAACAAAACCCCACAACUUCUCCAGCAAAACAAUGCAUGUGCUAAAAUAAACAAUUCAGUUCUAAGAGGCACCAUUACCUUUUAUUUUAAUUUUAGGUAGGACUGAGAAUUGUCUCAAAAACUUCACUUCUGAAUUUCAGUAUAGAUUGAGUAACACAUUUGAGAAAAAUGUUCUACCCUUUAAUGUGUUAAAUGACAGUUUUAAAAUUCAAACAAUGAUUCAUUUAUAUGCCUGGUAUCAACAGCUAGCCUACACUCUUUGGUUCAAACAGGUUGUAAUCAUCAAAUCCUACCUGCUACAAAAUAUGCAAAAUCACCAAAAUGGAUGAUUCUGAUCUAGGCUAGGCGUUUUUUCUCCCCUUUUCCCUAAUUGUUAAGAGAGAAAAAAAAA